GGACAGGCUUUUGCUCAAACAUGGGAAGCAUAAGAGAAGUGAUUUGGUCCGGUGUUCUAGUUCUUGUAUGGCUAAUCCCUAAGGCUUCCACACAGCUGAAGGAGCCACAAGUGCCUUGUUUCUUCAUCUUUGGUGACUCUUUGGUAGAUAAUGGUAAUAAUAACAGGAUUCUUACACUUGCUAGGGCUAAUUACAUGCCUUAUGGCAUCGACUUUCCUCAGGGUGCCACUGGCCGAUUUACCAAUGGUCGAACAUAUGUCGAUGCACUAGCUCAACUUCUGGGGUUUCAAAAUUAUAUUCCGCCCUAUGAAAGAACUCGAGGCCGUGCAAUUUUGAUGGGAGUGAAUUAUGCAUCUGGAGCAGCUGGCAUUAGAGAUGAAACAGGGAACAAUUUGGGAGAUCACACAUCAAUGAACCAGCAGGUAAACAACUUUGGUAACACAGUGCAAGAAAUGAGGAGAUUUUUCAGAGGGGAUGCAAAUGCAUUGAAUGGUUAUCUGAGAAAGUGUAUAUUCUAUUCUGGAAUGGGAAGCAAUGACUAUCUUAACAACUAUUUCAUGCCCACUUUCUACACAACUAGCUCUGAUUACACUGCCAAAGCUUUUGCUGCUGUGCUUCUUCAGGAUUACUCUCGCCAGCUAACGCAAUUAUAUGAAUUGGGAGCUCGGAAAGUGAUAGUAACAGGAGUAGGUCAAAUUGGUUGCAUUCCAUAUCAGCUGGCAAGGUACGAUGGAAAUAACAGUCGCGGUCGCUGCGAUGAGAAAAUCAACAAGGCCAUUUCUCUUUUCAACUCUGGACUCUUCAAGCUCCUUCAAUCUUUCAAUAAUGGCAAACUUCCUGGUGCCAAAUUUGUUUACCUCGAUUCCUAUAAAAGCACCAAUGAUCUUUAUCUCAAUGCCUCCACUUAUGGAUUUGAAGUGAUAGACAAGGGAUGCUGUGGGGUGGGAAGGAACAAUGGGCAGAUAACUUGUCUUCCUCUUCAGCAACCUUGUGAAGAUCGCAGAAAGUAUUUAUUUUGGGAUGCCUUUCAUCCAACUGAAUUAGCAAAUAUUUUACUUGCUAAAUCAACGUUUACUUCACUGUCAUACACCUAUCCCAUUAAUAUCCGGCAACUUGCAAUGUUAUGAGAGGCUAGUGAUUUCACGUCAAGAUAUGUAUCCUGCAAGGGCUAGCAGAGUGAGCUUGCCAUUUUAAGGAUUGUGAUGUAUCCUUACUAUUGUCAUAAAUUAUUUAACAACUAAAAAUAAAGGAUAGUCAUUUUAUUUAAUUUUAUUAAAAUAUUAUACUUCAAUACAAG
rnacentral:misc_RNA from 1 species